GACGAACGCUGGCGGCGUGCUUAACACAUGCAAGUCGAACGGAAAGGCCCUGCUUUUGUGGGGUGCUCGAGUGGCGAACGGGUGAGUAACACGUGAGUAACCUGCCCUUGACUUUGGGAUAACUUCAGGAAACUGGGGCUAAUACCGGAUAGGAGCUCCUGCUGCAUGGUGGGGGUGGGAUAGUUUCGGCGGUUGGGGAUGGACUCGCGGCUUAUCAGCUUGUUGGUGGGGUAGUGGCUUACCAAGGCUUUGACGGGUAGCCGGCCUGAGAGGGUGACCGGCCACAUUGGGACUGAGAUACGGCCCAGACUCCUACGGGAGGCAGCAGUGGGGAAUAUUGCACAAUGGGCGGAAGCCUGAUGCAGCAACGCCGCGUGCGGGAUGACGGCCUUCGGGUUGUAAACCGCUUUCGCCUGUGACGAAGCGUGAGUGACGGUAAUGGGUAAAGAAGCACCGGCUAACUACGUG
rnacentral:rRNA from 1 species